AACUUUUGAAACUUCACUCCUUCCAAAUUACUCUCUCACUGUCACACUUCUCUCACCGCCACACUUCUCUACAGCGGCACUUCUCUGCCGUCUACAGCGGCACGUCUCCUCACAACUCUGUAAACUUCAGCUACUCACCAGAUUCAAAAUGGGAUAGGUGUUCUAAGGUAAUGUUUUCCACUUCUCACCUCUUUGAAUAAUGAACCUACCUCACAUUUUUGGAUUUUCUCAUCUGAAUCUUCACAAAUUGUACAAAUUACUGGUUGUAUUUACUAGAUAAGUUUAUUUUUUGGUUGUUUGUAUAGAUGCAUGGAGGUAGAAUUAGGUUAAUUUUGUUGUAUUCUUCAUGGAUGAAAAUUUUGAAAUAUCAAAUUUGAGCAUGUAUUUUGUGGUAGAAUUAGGUUUAUUUUGUUAUAAUUUUGGUGAUUCUACAGAUUCUUCGAGACAUUCUGUGUCUACAGAUUUUUUGGGACCACUUUGUCUCAAAUGGUGUCGCUAACAGGUGCCUUGUUUCUUCGUAAAAUUUGGAGUUGUCGUCUCCGUCGAUCCUUGUUUAAGCUGGAGUAAGGUGUAUAUAGUUUCCCUUUUUGUUUGUUAAUUAAUUCUUCUUUAGCUGUUACAUGUGCCCUCAAUCUUCACUUAUCUCUGUAUACUUGUAUUCAUACAUUAUAUUCUUAUUGAUUUGUAUCUUCAUUUUUUUCUUCUAAAUCACUAAUUUAUCAUUCUUCUAAAUUUGCAUGUCUUUGCUUAUUUGUUGUAUCUCUUCAAUCCAAUUGACUAUAUUCCAAGGUAGUUUGCAUUUAUCCACAAGUAUUCUUUGUAAAUAUAUUGAAUAUGGUUGGAUCAUGAUAUGAUCCAAAUGUUUGUUAUUACAAUGCUUGAUAGCUUCUAGGAUAGCCAGUGUCUCAGAUUAUUUUGGCCCUUACCAUAUCUGUAAUUCUGGCCAGGAGAAAGCAUAUCUAAAAGGUCAUAAACAGACUUCCUCUGUAGAAAAACAUCCCAUUUUGGACCAAAGUGUGUCCUACAUUGUUCCUGUAUUGUUUUAUAUAAACAAAUGUAUAAUCUUAUAGAAAAUGUUCCUUUGUUUAAUUUAUCAGGUCCGAUCCCUCUCCAAUAUUUGGAACUGAAAUUAACGAGAGAGCUUCUAGAUCUUCAAGGAUAAAGAAAGUUGAGGUACUCUUUCAUUUGCUUAGAUCACUAUAAUUUCUCAGUGGUUAGGCCUCUAGGGAAAUAGUUGAGGCCUCAAGUUCAUCUGAUGCUUAUGCUUAAAGUCAACUACAGUAGUAAUAAAUAGAGAUAAAUAGACAUUUGCUCUCAGAUACUGAAUGUUCUUGUUUAAUUUAUCAGGUCUGGCCCCUUUUCAAUAUUUGCUUUAUCUGGAACUGGAAUUAACGGGAGAGCUUCUAGAUCUUCAGGGAUAAAGAAAGUUGAGGUACUCUUUCCAUUUCUGCAUAUAAUGUUACAUAAAAAUUGUUAAAUAUGUCUGUAAUCUUAUAAUUUUCUCAUGAAAAUCUUAUAGGUGAUAUUGUCUGCUAAUCUUGUUUUUUUUUAUGGAUAAAUCUUGGAUUAGAAUGCCAAGGACCACAAAAGAAUAUUUGGUUGGCUUGAAUCAGUUCCUAGAAUUUGCAUUUAAAAAUGGAGCUAUAGAAGAUAGAAUAAAAUGUCCGUGUCCUCAAUGUUGUUUUGGCAAAUGGAAGACUAGAGAUAUAGUGUUUGAACAUUUGACUUGCAAGCCAUUUGAUCGCGUCUUUGAUCAAAUCAUAGUGGUAUAAACUCUAUAUUCUGACUACUAUACCUAUAUUCUUUUCUUGGACUUUUAUAUUUGGAUUUAAUAGAUAAGCUAACUAGUGUUUAUUCUUGAAGCCUUGAUUUUUUUCCGAGACAACCGACGAUAAGCUAACUAGUGCUUAUUCUGGAUCCACUGUGUUUUCUAGUGACAUAUCUAUUGAGAUUAGCUUCUUUAUUUCUGGCAAAGUUUUAUGGGCAAGGCAGCACUCAUGGUCUAGAACAUAUUUUCCAGGAUUGCUUCUGGAGCUUAGAAUGUGGAGUGUUGUUUGGUCUGAAUUAGGAAAAAAGAAUGUGGAAAUAUGAGUAUUUGUCUAUAGAACUUUGUGGAGUGUUGUUUGGUCUGGAUUAAUGCAAGAACAAGAUAAAAACUUGUGAUUCUUUUACUAUUAUGUGCAAUAAAGAAGUAGCAAGGUCCAGAACAUAUUUUUGCAUAUUCUUGUAUGUUAGUAUUGACCUAUUUGUUUAUGAUUGGCAUUUGUAUUGACAUUCAUAGUAGAGAAUUUAGUAUUUGUUUACAUACUGUUAUUGACAUACAAUAUGUAAGUAUUUUUUUUAUAAAUCACCAUAAUGGUUGGAUUAGGUUUCAGUCCUAAUCAUUUUAUUGCAUUCAAAAGAGGUUACAAAAGAAGGGUGAGAGCAUUUAUCAUAUUACUUAUUGUGUAUUUUUCUUUGUAGACAGAUGAUGCUAGUGACAGUAGUCGUAGUGACAAUCGUUGAAGUUCCAUGAAUAGUUGCAGGUCAUUUCUUGAGUAUGGAUGCUAGUGAACCCUUUUCAUCAAUAAAAGCAAGAUUAGCGAAUGACAGUUUUUGUAGUGAUUUGAAGUUUCUUGUAAUCGUAAUGGUUGAAGUGAAUGGUAUGUUUCAAUUUAGUUUGUAAAACUAAUAGUACACUUUAUGAUAUAUUUUUUUGUUGAAAUAUUUUGUUAUUUCUUAAUACUAAUAAGCCCUUUUAGGUUUGACUAUGAUGUACAUGUUAAUUAGUCAUUAAUAUUUAAAAUAGAUUUUUUCUAGCAUAAUGCUCUAGAAGGUUACAUGUUCAUAAAUUACAGGGGUUAGAACUCUAGUUAAUCUUAAUGUAAAAUUCAUGAUUUGUGGGGAUUUUGACUCCCAAAGUUCACAAAUUGCAGGGGUUUUGACUCCUAGAUAUUGAAGUGCAGUUUUAUA
rnacentral:lncRNA from 1 species